AAAUCUAUGAAAUUUUAACACAAGGUUUAUGACCACAAAAGAACGGUUGGGAUUGAUUUUGGGAGUUUUGGUUUCAACAGUUUAGGAAUUAGGGGCCAAAAAGGGCCCAAAUAAGCAUUAUUCUUGGUUUUCGCACAAUAACUUUAGUUUAAGUAAAUAGAAAUCAAUGAAAUUUAAACACAAUGUUAAUGACUACAAAAGGAAGGUUGGUAUUGAUUUUGGGAGUUUAGGUCCCAACAGUUUAGGAAUAAGGGGCCAAAAAGGGACCCAAAUAAGCAUUUUUCUUGGUUUUCGCACCAUAACGUUAGUAUAAGUAAAUAGAAAUCCAUGAAAUUUAAACACAAGGUUUAUGACCAUAAAAGGAAGGUUGGUAUUGAUUUUGGGAGUUUUGGUCCCAA
rnacentral:lncRNA from 1 species